UACGUAGGGUGCGAGCGUUAAUCGGAAUUACUGGGCGUAAAGCGUGCGCAGGCGGUUCGUUAAGUCAGCUGUGAAAGCCCCGGGCUCAACCUGGGAACUGCGGUUGAAACUGGCGAACUAGAAUCUGGUAGAGGGGGGUGGAAUUCCCGGUGUAGUGGUGAAAUGCGUAGAGAUCGGGAGGAACACCUGUGGCGAAGGCGGCCCCCUGGGCCGGCCCUGACACUGAGGAGCGAAAGCGUGGGGAGCGAACAGG
rnacentral:rRNA from 1 species